GUAAAAGUCGUAACAAGGUUUCCGUAGGUGAACCUGCGGAAGGAUCAUUACCACACCGAUCCAAAUCUUGGUCGCUUUUGAGCAAGUAAUGCAGCGUAUGCUGUGUUCAUGAUUCUGAUUCUUUUGAGGAUUCUGAUUUGAGUAUAAACCCUUUUGGCUAGCCUGGUUCUGUGUCCUUCACGGGGUGUGGAAUUGGGUUUUUCAAAAAUUAACCGGAAAGACAAACAUAUCUAAGUCCCGCGAUGCCAUGCGGUUACGGCAUAAAGUAGUACAACUUUCAGCAACGGAUGUCUAGGGUCUCGCAUCGAUGAAGAACGCAGCGAAAUGUGAUACGUAAUGCGAAUUGCAAAGCUUUGUGAAUCAUUGAAAUUUUGAACGCAUAUUGCGCUUGCAGGAUUUUUCCUGGGAGCAUGCAUGUCUGAGUGUCAGCAAACACCACUCAGCGCCUUUGCUUGCAAGGGUWGCUGGAUUCUUGCAUUGGUUUAUGAAAAUAAACACUGUGCAUAAGUGUAGACGAGAGGAUUUCAGAGUAGGUUAUUGAGCCGCGUGAUUUCUAUUUCUGUAUGUUCGCUUCUGUGUUCAUAUGAAAAUUGAUUUUGCAAAGUGUUGACGUAAUUAUUUCUCAGUUAUCGGCUUGAUGGGGAAAUUUAUUUCUCCAAAAUUUUUUACUGCGACGAAAGUUGUGGUGAAGAAUUUGCUUUCAUCUCUGAUCUCAGAUCAUGUAAGAAAACCCGCUGAAUUUAAGCAUAUCAAUAAGCGGAGGA
rnacentral:rRNA from 1 species